rnacentral:lncRNA from 1 species
CAUCGUAAUGCUAUGUUUGUUGAUAACUGCAAUCAUAUGCACAUAUGGUAAUAACAACACGUUCAUAAAAACAUCUCAUUCUUUUGCGGCGAAGGUAAUGAAAAUAUUCUGCAUUAAGACCAACUAUGCAACAUUAUUCCACGUGCAAAGCUCAGAGAUAUCAGCCAUGAAUGGCAUAAGGUUCCUGUCAGCCGUUUUUGUGAUCUGGGCGCAUGUAUACAUGUUUACUAAUAUUGCUGGAUUAUCCAACUCGUUGGAUAUGGAUAAGGAUGCAGGAACACUGACUGGAAUAUUCCUUCACCACAUGGAUUUACUUGUGGAUACCUUCUUCGCCUUCUCUGGUCUUCUUCUUGUUAACAGUCUGCUCUCUGCCAAACCGGGAAAUCACAGAACUUAGUAAAGAUGCUCUGCAAGCGAUACUUUAGGUUAAUAGGAACUUUGGCUGUGGCUAUUUCCUUCAUGACUGUUAUAUCAGGGAUAUGGACCACGGCCCAUUAUGGCGCAGAUUCGCUGUAUCCGAACAGGAUAUAUGCGUGAAGAAUUGGUGGAGAUGUUUGUUGAUGCUAAAUACCAGUGCCAAGGAAAUGUGCUUAAUUGUCGCCUGGUACAUCUCUUGUGACUUCCAUCUGACCGCCGCCUGCUCAUUCAUAAUAUACGUCUACAGGAAGAACAAGAAAAACGGUCUUCGUGUCUACGGAAUCGCUUGCCUACUGGCCAUUCUGAUACCAGGAUUUUUAACUUAUUGGUAUAAGUUGCAACCUGUCAUCUUAUUUACUAUACAGGACUUCGUUAUUUUGAGGAUGGUUGCAAGUUUGGAUUACGUUUACGUCAAAACAUAUAGUAGAGGAGGACCUUAUGUGGUGGGAAUGGCAGCAGGAUACCUCAUAACAAAAUUCAAUCGGGAAAAAUAUAAAAAGUUAUACCAAAGAUUUGGUCAUUUUCUGCAGUUGUGUUAGCAGUAUCAUUAAUGCUAUUAACAAUGAGUGUGGGAACAAUAUUUUAUGACAGAGAAUACAGCGCCUUAGAAGUAUCUAUUUCUGUCGCUCUAGACAGAGUAGUGUGGGCUUUUGCUGUAUGCAGUAUAGUUGGAGUUUGCAUAUAUGGCGACCUGCCGAUUAUCAAUGACUUUCUGAGUUGGUCGUUGUUCCGGCCCUCGGGAGGUUAUCCUAUGGGAUCUACUUGCUUCAUGCCAUGUUCCUGGAACGGAUAAUAUUUUCUACCAGAGCCCCGUUGAAGUACGAUCAUCUGGAAUUUUUCAUAAUCACUUGCGGCGCGACCGUAGUGACUUGCAUGGCCAGUCUGUUCGUCUGGUUAGUGGUGGAAGCGCCGCUUACCAAUAUCUGCGAUGCUAUUAUGUCAGAUAAGAAAUCACCACAAAAGGAAAACGAAAUGACUAACGAAGCUACUCAAAAUGGUCAAAAAAAAGUAUUAUAAAUGUUUUUUAAAUGUAAUAUUUAUUUUAAAUGAUGUUUACUUUAACCAAAACCCCAGGUUUCGGAGCGACAUACUCGUGAAAUAACAACCAAGCUAUUUAAAUAAAGAUUAAAACAAA